rnacentral:rRNA from 1 species
AUUGAACGCUGGCGGCAGGCCUAACACAUGCAAGUCGAACGGUAACAGAAAGCAGCUUGCUGCUUUGCUGACGAGUGGCGGACGGGUGAGUAAUGUCUGGGAAACUGCCUGAUGGAGGGGGAUAACUACUGGAAACGGUAGCUAAUACCGCAUAACGUCGCAAGACCAAAGAGGGGGACCUUCGGGCCUCUUGCCAUCGGAUGUGCCCAGAUGGGAUUAGCUUGUAGGUGGGGUAACGGCUCACCUAGGCGACGAUCCCUAGCUGGUCUGAGAGGAUGACCAGCCACACUGGAACUGAGACACGGUCCAGACUCCUACGGGAGGCAGCAGUGGGGAAUAUUGCACAAUGGGCGCAAGCCUGAUGCAGCCAUGCCGCGUGUAUGAAGAAGGCCUUCGGGUUGUAAAGUACUUUCAGCGGGGAGGAAGGGAGUAAAGUUAAUACCUUUGCUCAUUGACGGUACCCGCAGAGGAAGCACCGGCUAACUCCGUG